rnacentral:tRNA from 2 species
GGUCCGGUGGCUCAAUGGUAGAGCGUCUGACUACGAUACCAUCUGGAUAUCAGGAGGUUGCAGGUUCGAGACCUGCCCGGAUCG